rnacentral:rRNA from 1 species
AGGGUUUGAUUAUGGCUCAGGAUGAACGCUAGCUACAGGCUUAACACAUGCAAGUCGAGGGGCAUCAGGAUGUAGCAAUACAUUGCUGGCGACCGGCGCACGGGUGAGUAACACGUAUCCAACCUGCCUUUUACUCGGGGAUAGGCUUUCGAAAGAAAGAUUAAUACCCGAUGGCAUAAUAUUUCCGCAUGGGAUUAUUAUUAAAGAAUUUCGGUAAAAGAUGGGGAUGCGUUCCAUUAGGCAGUUGGCGGGGUAACGGCCCACCAAACCUUCGAUGGAUAGGGGUUCUGAGAGGAAGGUCCCCCACAUUGGAACUGAGACACGGUCCAA